UACGGGGGGGGCAAGCGUUGUUCGGAAUUACUGGGCGCAAAGGGCUCGUAGGUGGCCAACUAAGUCAGACGUGAAAUCCCUCGGCUUAACCGGGGAACUGCGUCUGAUACUGGAUGGCUUGAGUUCGGGAGAGGGAUGCGGAAUUCCAGGUGUAGCGGUGAAAUGCGUAGAUAUCUGGAGGAACACCGGUGGCGAAGGCGGCAUCCUGGACCGACACUGACACUGAGGAGCGAAAGCCAGGGGAGCAAACGGG
rnacentral:rRNA from 1 species